AUAGCUCAAUGGUAGAGCGAUGGGCUGGAAUACGAUGUAACUUGGGUUCGAAUCCCAUU
rfam:Daphnia magna strain Xinb3 contig37398, whole genome shotgun sequence.